rnacentral:piRNA from 1 species
UGGAUGUAGACUCCUAAUGCCCCUAUGCAU